rnacentral:rRNA from 1 species
AGCUCGACUGUUAUUCCAGAUUGAACGCUGGCGGGACGUGCUUAUGACAUGCAAGUCGAACGGCAGCACGGACUUCGGUCUGGUGGCGAGUGGCGAACGGGUGAGUAAUGUAUCGGAACGUGCCUAGUAGCGGGGAUAACUACGCGAAAGGGUGUAGCUAAUACCGCAUACGCCCUUCGGGGGAAAGCGGGGUAAUCUGCCUCGCACCGUCGGGAGCGGCCGAUAUCGAUUAGCUAGUUGGUAACGGCUCACCAAGGCGACGAUCCGCAGCUGGUUUCCAGAGGAUACUCCCAGCCACACUGGGACUGAGGAUACUGGGCCUGGGACUGCCGGGAGUGCAGCAGUGGGGAAUUUUGGACAAUGGGGAAACCCUGAUCCAGCCAUCCUUAUGUGCGAUGAAGGCCUUCGGGUUGUGAAAGCACUUGGUGAAAGAAGAAACGCACGGAUAAUACCCCGCAGAAAUCAGACGGCAGUACUCUGGCAGAACAGCACCGUUUAUCCGCGCCAGCAGCCGCGGGUAAUACGGUGUACGCGUUAAUCGGAAUUACUGGGCGCAAAGCGUGCGCAGGCGGUUCGGAAAGAAAGAUGAAACCCGGAGCUUAACUUUGAACUGCAUUUUUAACUACUGAGCUAGAGGCCGAGGGAGGUGGACCGCGUGUAGCAGUGAAAUGCGUAGAUAUGCGGAGAGGAACACCGAUGGCGAAGGCAGCCUCCUGGGAUAACACUGACGCUCAUGCACGAAAGCGUGGGGAGCAAACAGGAUUAGAUACCCUGGUAGUCCACGCCCUAAACGAUGUCAACUAGCUGUUGGGGCCUUCGGGCCUUGGUAGCGCAGCUAACGCGAAGUUGACCGCCUGGGGAGUACGGUCAGGAUUAAAAACUCAAAGGAAUUACCGGGACUCCACAGCGGUGGAUGAUAAUUAAUUGAUGCAACGCGAAAACCUUACCUACCCUUGACAUGUCUGGAAUCCCGAAGAGAUUAAGGCUCUGUAUGAGAACCGGAAUUACAGAAGCGGCUAUUGCCGUCAGCUUCACAAAGCCGUGAGAUGUUGGGUUAAGUCCUGCAACGAGCGCAACCCUGUCAUUAGUUGCUGCCGAGGCUACACCAUCAGACUGCUGCGACAACUGGAUAAGAGCGGGGAUGACGUCAAGUCCUCACAGGUCUAUGGGUAGGGCUUCACACGUCAUACAAUGGUCGGGAACAGUGGCUGCCAACCCGCGAGGGGGAGCCAAUCCAGAAACCCGACUCCGUAGUCCGGAUCGCAGUUCGCAACUCGACUGCGUGAAGUCGGAAUCGCUAGUAAUCGCGGAUCAGCAUGUCGCGGUGAAUACGUUCCCGGGUCUUGUACACACUGCCCGUCACACCAUGGGAGUGGGUUUUACCAGAAGUAGUUAGCCUUAACCGUGCGAGGGCGAUUACCACGGUGACUCAUGACUGGGGUGAAGUCGUAACAAGCGUAAC